GAUGAACGCUAGCGGCAGGCUUAAUACAUGCAAGUCGAACGGUAAGUUUGGUAGCAAUAUCAAACCAAGAGUGACGUACGGGUGCGUAACACGUAUGCAACCUACCUUGUACAGGAGUAUAGCUCGGGGAAACUCGAAUUAACCCUCCAUGAGAUCAUAGAAUGGCAUCAUUUAGUGAUUAAAACUCAGGUGGUACAAGAUGGGCAUGCGUCUGAUUAGAGUUGGCGGGGUAAUGGCCCACCAAGACGAUGAUCAGUAGGGGACCUGAGAGGGUGAUCCCCCACACUGGCACUGAGAUACGGGCCAGACUCCUACGGGAGCAGCAGUAGGGAAUAUUGGUCAAUGGGUGAG
rnacentral:rRNA from 1 species